rnacentral:rRNA from 1 species
UGGGGAAUAUUGCACAAUGGGCGAAAGCCUGAUGCAGCAACGCCGCGUGAGUGAUGAAGGCCUUCGGGUUGUAAAGCUCUGUCUUUUGGGACGAUAAUGACGGUACCAAAGGAGGAAGCCACGGCUAACUACGUGCCAGCAGCCGCGGUAAUACGUAGGUGGCAAGCGUUGUCCGGAUUUACUGGGCGUAAAGGAUGCGUAGGCGGAUUUUUAAGUGAGAUGUGAAAACCCUAAGCUUAACUUGGGGACUGCAUUUCAUACUGGAAAUCUAGAGUGCGGGAGAGGAGAAUGGAAUUCCUAGUGUAGCGGUGAAAUGCGUAGAGAUUAAGAAGAACACCAGUGGCGAAGGCGAUUCUCUGGACCGUAACUGACGCUGAGGCAUGAAAGCGUGGGUAGCAAACAGGAUUAGAUACCCUGGUAGUCCACGCCGUAAACGAUGAGUACUAGGUGUAGGAGGUAUCGACCCCUUCUGUGCCGCAGUUAACACAAUAAGUACUCCGCCUGGGAAGUACGAUCGCAAGAUUAAAACUCAAAUGAAUUGACGGGGUCAUAGCUGUUUUCCU